UACGUAGGGUGCGAGCGUUGUCCGGAAUUACUGGGCGUAAAGCGCACGUAGGCGGAAUGUUAAGUCAGGGGUGAAAUCCCGGGGCUCAACCCCGGAACUGCCUUUGAUACUGGCAUUCUCGAGUCCGGAAGAGGUGAGUGGAAUUCCGAGUGUAGAGGUGAAAUUCGUAGAUAUUCGCAAGAACACCAGUGGCGAAGGCGGCUCACUGGCCCGGAACUGACGCUGAGGUGCGAAAGCGUGGGGAGCAAACAGG
rnacentral:rRNA from 1 species